rnacentral:rRNA from 1 species
GUAACGAGCGCAACCCUUGUCCUUAGUUACCAGGCACGUUAUGGUGGGCACUCUAAGGAGAACUGCCGGUGGACAAACCGGAGGGAAGGUGGGGAUGACGUCAAGUCAUCAUGGCCCUUACGGCCUGGGCUACACACGUGCUACAAUGGUCGGUACAAAGGGUUGCCAAGCCGCGAGGUGGAGCUAAUCCCAAUAAAACCGAUCGUAGUCCGGAUCGCAGUCUGCAACUCGACUGCGUGAAGUCGGAAUCGCUAGUAAUCGUGAAUCAGAAUGUCACGGUGAAUACGUUCCCGGGCCUU